AUCAGAGUGGUGUAGCGGAAGCGUGGUAGGCUCAUAACCCACAGGUUUUAGGAUCGAAACUUGGCUCUGAUA
rnacentral:tRNA from 1 species